UACGUAGGGGGCAAGCGUUGUCCGGAUUUAUUGGGCGUAAAGAGCUUGUAGGCGGUUUGUCGCGUCUGCUGUGAAAUUUCGGGGCUCAACCCCGAACUUGCAGUGGGUACGGGCAGGCUAGAGUGUGGUAGGGGAGACUGGAAUUCCUGGUGUAGCGGUGAAAUGCGCAGAUAUCAGGAGGAACACCGAUGGCGAAGGCAGGUCUCUGGGCCAUAACUGACGCUGAGAAGCGAAAGCAUGGGGAGCGAACAGG
rnacentral:rRNA from 1 species